UACGGGGGGGGGCAAGCGUUUGUUCGGAAUUACUGGGCGUAAAGAGCUCGUAGGCGGUUUGUCGCGUCUGCUGUGAAAACCUAAGGCUCAACCUUGGGCUUGCAGUGGGUACGGGCAGACUAGAGUGAUGUAGGGGAGACUGGAAUUCCUGGUGUAGCGGUGAAAUGCGCAGAUAUCAGGAGGAACACCGAUGGCGAAGGCAGGUCUCUGGGCAUUAACUGACGCUGGAGGAGCGGAAAAGCAUGGGGGAGCGAACAGG
rnacentral:rRNA from 1 species